AGGGGGGUGUAGAGUGUAGACAUUAAAUGGAAAUGACUCCCGGGAUUUCUAAUAUACCUGCCGAAGUAUUACGAAGAAUUGUCGAGAACAUGUCGGGAAUCUCCGUGUUGUUCCGAUUAUCAAUUUAUCUUUUUAAAACAAUAUGGCGACUAUUAAUUUUUAGGUGUGUAUAAAAAAUAUUGCAGAAAGAAUCAUAAUAAAAGCUGUUUUCCAUAAUAUUACACAAGAAUCUGCGAAAUACUGUUUUCUACAAUGUCGGACAGGAAAGCUGAGUUAGAGAGAAAGCGAAAUAAACUUGAAGAAAUUAGGAGAAAAAGAGAAGAGAAGACUCAGCAGAAAAGAGUGAGUCUGUAGUUCACUAGUUCAAUCAUCUUGAUUCUUGAAAUUUUGAAUUAUGUUAGUGUUUAUGUUACCCGUGUACAAACUUAUACAUGUAUGGGUUUGGAGUCGUAUUUUAUUUAUAUUUAUUUAUACAAAAGUGAACUGUAUUGAUAUGUGAUGAAAGAAAUUGUUUCUAUUGUAUAAACCUUGUCAGACUCCUUCACGCCUUGAAGGAGCUGUUAUGCAAUUAUAUGGACUAUUAGGAAUUAUAUUUUCAUGGAGUGAAAGAAACACCAAAAUAAAUCAUUGCUAUUGAACAACAGAAUAAAAGGAGCAGUAAAUAUAGAAAAGGAGCAGUAAAUCUAUAUAUUCCUGGGUUAUAGUACAUCCUGGCUGGAAAGUUUGGAAAUUGCGUGGCCAAGAUUUCGAAAAUUUAAUAGUAAAUAUAUAGAAAGCAUCAAAAUUGUGCGCCCGAUAUCUCGGCCGC